UUACGAGUACAAGUCGCCACCCCCUCCUUCUCCCUCUCCACCACCGCCUUAUGAGUACAAGUCGCCACCACCUCCUUCUCCAUCUCCUCCACCGCCAUAUGAAUACAAGUCGCCACCACCUCCUUCACCAUCACCUCCACCACCAUACUACUACUCUUCCCCACCACCUCCGAAGAAGUCACCUCCACCACCAUACUACUACUCCUCUCCACCACCACCCGAGAAGUCACCUCCUCCACCAUACUACUACUCCUCUCCUCCACCCCCGGAGAAGUCACCUCCACCACCUUACUACUACUCUUCUCCACCACCCCCCAAGAAGUCACCUCCACCUCCAUACUACUAUAGUUCUCCACCACCACCCGAGAAGUCACCUCCACCACCUUACUACUAUUCUUCUCCUCCACCACCCGAGAAGUCACCUCCACCACCAUACUACUACUACUCUCCUCCACCACCCAAGAAGUCACCUCCACCUCCAUACUACUACAGUUCUCCACCACCACCAGUUAAGUAUCCUCCUCCACCAUACUACUACCCUUCUCCACCACCACCCAAGGAAUCACCUCCUCCACCAUACUACUACUCCUCACCACCACCACCCAAGAAGUCACCCCCACCCCCAUACUACUACUCCUCUCCUCCACCACCAGUUAAAUAUCCUCCUCCACCAUACUACUACUCUUCCCCACCACCACCAGUUAAGUACCCUCCUCCACCAUAUUACUACAC
rnacentral:lncRNA from 1 species